ACUAGCUGCGACAUCUAGUGACGACAUUUACCGGGCUUUAACGGUUGUAGCUGCAUGAAGUCUGCUGCAAUUUCUCUGAGAUUUCUCAAGAUCAUCAGUUUGGACAGAAUUCAUUUGAAGAAUUAAUAGCACUAGCAGGUUCCAAUAAAGGCUGGAACAGAACAGACAGAAAAGAAUCUGUCAGAAGAAAUUCAACUACUGUUCGUGCACCAGAUGGUGAAGUAGAAAAGUUCGUAAAAACUUCUGCAGCUUGCAUCUGACAGAGAUGCAAAAAGAAUAAGAGAGCGGGCCUGAAAACAAGCAAAUUCAAGUCUUUCCUUCUUUUAGGGUACACUUGAGGAGUGUCCAGAUGUUUAUUAAUGUUUUAUUAAUGUAAUGUUAUGUUUCAAAUAAACAUGUAAACAUACUGUAUAUUUUUCUUUCUUUUUUAAACACCUACAGUAAAGUGUGACACUUAACACAUUAAAAGCAUCACAAAC